UUAUGUCUGCCGAAAACCACAUCUGGUUCACCGCCGCCUCAACAGACACACAAUGAAAUACAAAAGGCUAAUUCUGCUGUGUACGCAAUCCAUGUUUCUUUCCCCAGAGGAUUCCAGAUGGAGUGAACUCAGUAGAGGCGGUGCUUCGACGGCUGAUGAUCUUGCGGAGAGGAGAGAGGAGCAUUAGUUACGGUUUUAAGUCCCGGCUGAACUGGCAGGGGUUACAUGACCUCAGACUCAGGGGCUUGUUAAGGAUGUGCAUGCUUCUCCUUUGCCU
rnacentral:lncRNA from 1 species